rnacentral:rRNA from 1 species
GACGAACGCUGGCGGCGUGCUUAACACAUGCAAGUCGAGCGGAAAGGCCUCUUCGGGGGUACUCGAGCGGCGAACGGGUGAGUAACACGUGAGUAAUCUGCCCUUCACUUGGGGAUAACGUCCAGAAAUGGGUGCUAAUACCCGGUACUCCCACGGUUGCGCAUGCAAUGGUGGGGAAAGGUUUUCUGGUGGGGGAUGUGCUCGCGGCCUAUCAGCUUGUUGGGGGGGUAAUGGCCUACCAAGGCUUUGACGGGUAGCCGGCCUGAGAGGGUGACCGGCCACGCUGGGACUGAGACACGGCCCAGACUCCUACGGGAGGCAGCAGUGGGGAAUAUUGGACAAUGGGCGGAAGCCUGAUCCAGCAACGCCGCGUGAGGGAUGACGGCCUUCGGGUUGUAAACCUCUUUCACCAUUGACGAAGCUGCACGGUUCUCCGUGUGGUGACGGUAGGUGGGGAAGAAGCACCGGCCAACUACGUGCCAGCCGCCGCAGUAACAC